UAGCUCAAUGGUAGAGCGUUAGCUUUGGAAGCCAAAGAUCGGUGGUUCGAUCCCGUC
rnacentral:tRNA from 1 species